AUAACAUGAUCCUCAUAGCAAUGAGGCUCCUGUUUCUCGAACACUGAGGUUAUGAAGAGAGAUGUGGAUCAGAACCUGAGGAGUUGGGGGUCAAAGGUUGGAGAAAAUGGCAGCGGGGAGAGAGAGCAAGGGAAAGUGAGAGAGAGGAGAAGAGCAAAGCCAGAGGCACACAGGAUGUGACACUUGAUCAAUGAGGAGGAGCGUUGUUGUGGCCGACUCGGUGAACCAUCUGAGAGAGAGACCUGUCGUCAGCAAGGGAAGGAGAAGAAGAGAAUGAGGGGGAGAAAUAAAGAGCAGCAACAGUCAAUCGGAAAUGGACACCUCAUGGUGCUGAAACCUGGAAGCAGCAGCAACAGUCAAUCGGAAAUGGACACCUCAUGGUGCUGAAACCUGGAAGCAGCAGCAACAGUCAAUCGGAAAUGGACACCUCAUGGUGCUGAAACCUGGAAGCAGCAGCAACAGUCAAUCGGAAAUGGACACCUCAUGGUGCUGAAACCUGGAAGCAGCAGCAACAGUCAAUCGGAAAUGGACACCUCAUGGUGCUGAAACCUGGAAGCAGCAGCAACAGUCAAUCGGAAAUGGACACCUCAUGGUGCUGAAACCGACCUCUCCUCUCAGGUAGGGAUGAAGACCAGGACAAGUUCCCAUUCUUUGACCGGAAUGUGACAAGAUCCUCAGCAGGGCCCUCUUCCUCAUCAAUGGAUUGUAACAACAACCUCAGCAGGGCCCUCUUCCUCAUCACUGGAUUGUUCCACAUCGGUUGUCUCUUGGUCUGGAUCAUAUUCUGUGUUGUCUUCAACUUCUGACACUUCCUCCUCUAAUGCAUCUUCACUGUCCCUUUCCUGGCCUCUCUCCUCCUCACCAGUGUCAUGAUCAAGAGCCUCACAUACAGUAUAUCGUUUGGUCAUUGUGCUGCCACAGAAUGAAUUGUGAGCCACAAAAAAGGCCUCAAAGAUUUAUAAACCAGAGCUGCGAGAAAAGUUCUAUAUAUUAUUGAAACAAUGUUGCGAUUGUUUGUGAGAAUGACAAAAGGUGUGGUUCCCUUGGGAGUUGCUAUGGAAGCCAAGAAGGGGAGUGUAACGUCCUGACCAGAGUUCUUAUGUGUUUUGCUUGUUUAGUGUUGGUCAGGACGUGAGCUGGGUGGGAAUUCUAUGUUGUGUGUCUAGUUUGUCUGUUUCUGUGUCCAGCCUAAUAUGGUUCUCAAUCAGAGGCAGCUGUCAAUCGUUGUCCCUGAUUGAGAAUCAUAUAUAGGAGAACUCAAUUGUAUACACUUAUUGUAGUCUCACUCAUUAAUUUCUAAUGAUCAGUCAUUUUUGACCAGGAACACCACAGGUGUACAAAAGUUAAAUUAAACACCCAAAUGUUAUGAAAAUC